rnacentral:tRNA from 1 species
UUAAAAGAUAAGCUAACAAAAGCUGAAGGGUUCAUACCCCUUUAAUGGUCUUCCUCUUUUAA